GACGAACGCUGGCGGCGUGCUUAACACAUGCAAGUCGAACGGAAAGGCCCUGCUUUUGUGGGGUGCUCGAGUGGCGAACGGGUGAGUAACACGUGAGUAACCUGCCCUUGACUUUGGGAUAACUUCAGGAAACUGGGGCUAAUACCGGAUAGGAGCUCCUGCUGCAUGGUGGGGGUUGGAAAGUUCGGGCGGUUGGGGAUGGACUCGCGGCUUAUCAGCUUGUUGGUGGGGUAGUGGCUUACCAAGGCUUUGACGGGUAGCCGGCCUGAGAGGGUGACCGGCCACAUUGGGACUGAGAUACGGCCCAGACUCCUACGGGAGGCAGCAGUGGGGAAUAUUGCACAAUGGGCGGAAGCCUGAUGCAGCAACGCCGCGUGCGGGAUGACGGCCUUCGGGUUGUAAACCGCUUUCGCCUGUGACGAAGCGUGAGUGACGGUAAUGGGUAAAGAAGCACCGGCUAACUACGUG
rnacentral:rRNA from 1 species